rnacentral:rRNA from 1 species
AGUUCGUGGAGUAAUCUGUCUGCUUAAUUGCGCUAUUCGAUGGGACUUGCCUAAAUGUAGUUUUCCAAUUUUGUUCAUUGAUAACUUCGCGUUUUCUUUGAACGUUGGGCUACAAGGCGAAUGUCCUGAAGGCAACGAACGUGACCGCAACCUUUAGUUGCCUCUUUCAGGUUUGAAAUAUUAAUCUGAGGCAAGCUAGAGGGACCGCUGGUUUUCUGUAACCCAGAGGAAGGAUGCGGCAAUAACAGGU